AUUGAACGCUGGCGGCAGGCCUAACACAUGCAAGUCGAGCGAGCGGCGGACGGGUGAGUAAUGUAUGGGGACUACCCGAUCGAGGGGGAUAACUACUGGAAACGGUGGCUAAUACCGCAUACUAUCGGAUAACACAUAUGGGAGGAGCUAGUAGGUGGGGUAAAGGCUCACCUAGGCGACGAUCUCUAGCUGGUCUGAGAGGAUGAUCAGCAACACUGGGACGGAGACAAGGCCCAGACUCCGACGGAGGCAGCAGUGAGGAAUAUUGGACAAUGGGCACAAGCCUGAUGCAGCCAUGCCGCGUGUAUGAAGAAGGCCUUAGGGUUGUAAAGUACUUUCAGCGGGGAGGCGUUACCCGCAGAAGAAGCACCGGCUAACUCCGUGCCAGCAGCCGCGGUAAUUC
rnacentral:rRNA from 1 species